UUGGAGGGCAAGUCUGGUGCCAGCAGCCGCGGUAAUUCCAGCUCCAAUAGCGUAUAUUAAAGUUGUUGCAGUUAAAAAGCCCGUAGUUGAACUUCAGGCCUGGCUGGGUGGUCUGCCUAACGGUAUUGUACUGCUCGGCUGGGUCUUACCUCUUGGUGAGCCAGCAUGCCCUUCACUGGGUGUGUUGGGGAACCAGGACUUUUACCUUGAGAAAAUUAGAGUGUUUAAAGCAGGCUAACGCUUGAAUACAUUAGCAUGGAAUAAUGAAAUAGGACGUUCGAUCCUAUUUUGUUGGUUUCUAGGAUUGACGUAAUGAUUAAUAGGGAUAGUUGGGGGCAUUAGUAUUCAAUUGUCAGAGGUGAAAUUCUUGGAUUUAUUGAAGACUAACUACUGCGAAAGCAUUUGCCAAGGAUGUUUUCAUUAAUCAAGAACGAAAGUUAGGGGAUCGAAGACGAUCAGAUACCGUCGUAGUCUUAACCAUAAACUAUGCCGACUAGGGAUCGGAUGAUGUUAAUUUUUUAAUGACUCAUUCGGCGCCUUACGGGAAAC
rnacentral:rRNA from 1 species